ensembl:lncRNA
UCCCCAGUUCCUGAGUGCUGAGAUUCCAGUAUGAGUCACCACAUCGGUAUGCAGUGCUGGAGAGCAAACCUAGGGUUCCUGCGUGCUAGACUCCAGCUUUGUCCCCCACCCACUGCGACCCAGGAUGGGAACUUCGAUGAAUCGUUCUGGCUCUGCCACUGUUCUCCAUGGCUGCCUCAAUCUGGUUUAGAACUUCCGGGCCCCAGCUCCAUUUCGGUUUGUCUAGCACUGUAGAUCUCUCAGGUUAGAGGGCCCGCGAGAAGCCCCUGUCGCUUCGCACCUCCCACCCGGCCCCACGCUGCAAUCGCCGCUUCCCUGCCUUUCCGUAGCUUGUGCCGCCCGGGCGUGUACUGUGACCGCGACCUCCCCGCUGCCCUCCCCUCCCCUUCCCGCCGCCCGCGCGCAGCCCAGCUCGCCGGGCGCUCUUACCUGCCGCUCCCCGGCGUCCCCACUGCGGGCGGGGGUUCCGCCACUCCGGGUCCCCGGGCUUGCUGCUCGGCACGGCGGGGAAUCGAGGGCGGGCGGGCAGAGGUGGGGCCGGCCGAGGGCGGAAACGCCGGCGACGCGAUUACGAAACCCAGGGGCUGAGAGCCGAGCGCAGCGCUCCGCCCAGCUUCGGGGCGCACGACGUGGCCCGCGGGAACAGCGGCAAGCACUACGCUAUGGGACACCCGCGGCACCCCAGGUGUCUGCGCUAGGUCUGUCCAUCUGCUGCAGGCUCUGAGAGGACGAUGUGCUGGGGCCCUUUCCGAGUCUCCCAAAGUCCCCUUCAGUCCUUAUAAUGGGAAAGGAGGGCCGUUCUGUUGUUUAGUGGGAAGACUUUUUAACCCGUACAUCUUGGAGGACAAUUAACUGCUCAGCCAUGCACUCCAGUCAGCACGAGGGUGCUUGGAGAGGUGGGGGUGCGGUGCGAGCCGAUGGAGAGGCUCUACCCUGGGUGGCGUGUUCCGGAACCUAUCCCUCGAAUUAGCCGAGUCAGGCAGAGAGGGGGCGGGGAGUGCUUCCGCCCUUGCUAGGAGGGGCUGCAUUGCAGGGGAGACCCAGCGGCCGAUCCCGUCACAGACGAGGGAGAAGGCGUGAGGAGACAAAGCCGUCACAUCUCCGACAGCUUCCUUCAGCAGCCUCCUCUCCAGUCCAGAGCCGACCCCCGAGCCCCUGAGGCAUUCCUUCCGUCUUCGGAACAACCCUAGUCAUUCAUUGCUAACAGGGAAUCAUGCGGGACCCUGUGAGUAGCCAGUACAGCUCCUUUCUUUUCUGGAGGAUGCCCAUCCCAGAACUGGAUCUGUCGGAGCUGGAAGGCCUGGGCCUGUCAGAUUCACCUACCUACAAGAGCAAGGAGAGCAACAGCAUUGGCAAAAUGGGUGGGCAGGCAACCGGAGCUGAGCGGAAGAGCCCUGAAGGCGACCCCCUCCUUGAGUAUAGCACCUUCAACUUCUGGAGAGCCCCUAUUGCCAGCAUCCGCUCGAUCGACCUGGACUUGCUCUAAGUCGAGACCUCUCUCUCCCACCCGCCCCAUACCCUCCUUGUCCUCCCCCUUAAGUCCCUUCCUCUCUCAGCCUUCCACUUUAAUCUUGUUCUCUUCCCUCUAUUGUGCGGUGGUGCUGAUGAAUCUGCCAAUCGAAUUGUAUGUUUGUAUGUAUGUACUUAUUUAUCUAUUUAUUAUUUAUCUAUCUAUUUAUUUAUUUAUUUAUCUGCCAACUCCGUUUCUCUCAAAAGCCCUCUAGGCACAAAGUCAAGGGUUUAAUCAAUGGAGUACAAGAUCAUAGGACACCCCCCCCCCCAGCCCUGAGAAUACUAACUAAUCCCAGAAAAAUCACCCUUCUUCAAGGCUUCAGAGAGAAGUAUAGUUGUGCAAAAUGGGAGACCAGUUUUUUUUCUUGUUUUGUUGUUGUUACAUUUUAAUCUGCUUCAAAGAUUACUUGAACCUCCCUAAUUUUCAGCACCAGGUCAGUAAUACUGCUUUGAGAAGUAGUGAGAACCUGAAGUCUUGAGACAAAACAGGAUUUCUAAAAGGCUAAGUUCUGCUGCUGCUUGCAGUGCAUUCUCUUCCCCGGGAUCGUGGCGGUAGUUACCGGUGAACACAAGAGACCGGACAUGAGGAACGCAUCCUAUCGGUUCAGAGAUCGUUCCUUUAACUCCAGCUCACAGCUCUGCUUCCUGCUGCGGGUUGGAAAUGUUGGGAAAAUCAGAUUUGAGUCUUCAUGGGGAAUCUUUACUAUUAGAAUACUUACUUCCUAAAAGGCAAAAGAUGUAUCUGAUCAAAAGGAAAGCCAGAGUAGCAGUAGAAGAAUUUAUAUAAAAUUGCGAUUUAGUCGUGGAGCAGGCGCAGUUUUUUGGUCCUUGGUAUUGUAGCUUUGCCUUCAUGGAGGUGCAGUAUGUGAUAGGAAUCAGUGGUUCCUGGACCCAGUUCUUCAGCUACCAUAAGACCGUGAAAUAAGCAGUUACAUUCAGACCCUACCCCUGUCCCCAUUCCUUCCAAAGCUAUUGCGGCUGAAUCGUGGAGCCAUUUAUUCAUUUAUGUAAUAAAGACGUUAAAUCCUAAGUCUGGGCUUAGUUUUCUCAAUUCCAGUGAAAUACUACAGAUCCCAGAAAUUACUUGUGCUUCCACAUCUGGUUUUCCCUUUUCAUCUAAUAUUUGGCUUUGAAGAAUAAUUUGGGAUUUGGACAUAGCUUGGUGGUAGAAGUGCUUGCCAAGCAUCUACAAGACCCUGCUAGAGUUCCUCUGUAAGCAGCCAGUGCUCCUGAGUGACAAGCCAUGCCCCCAAGCCCAUUGUUAAUCUUUAAACUUGUUUGUGUGGCUUUGUAUGGAGACCAGGCUGGCCUUGAACUCAGAAAUCCACCUGGUUCUGCUGGGGUGUGCCACCACGCCCAGCUUGUUUAAAUUUUGGGCCUAGCAAUUUGGCAUUGAAUUAGGGGAAUCUCUGCCUCCUGCUGCAAUUAAAGGUAUGUU